rnacentral:rRNA from 1 species
CCUACGGGGGGCACCAGUGGGGAAUAUUGCACAAUGGGCGCAAGCCUGAUGCAGCCAUGCCGCGUGUGUGAAGAAGGCCUUCGGGUUGUAAAGCACUUUCAGCGGGGAGGAAGGCGAUAAGGUUAAUAACCUUGUCGAUUGACGUUACCCGCAGAAGAAGCACCGGCUAACUCCAUGCCAGCAGCCGCGGUAAUACGGAGGGUGCAAGCGUUAAUCGGAAUUACUGGGCGUAAAGCGCACGCAGGCGGUCUGUCAAGUCGGAUGUGAAAUCCCCGGGCUCAACCUGGGAACUGCAUUCGAAACUGGCAGGCUAGAGUCUUGUAGAGGGGGGUAGAAUUCCAGGUGUAGCGGUGAAAUGCGUAGAGAUCUGGAGGGAUACCGGUGGCGAAGGCGGCCCCCUGGACAAUGACUGACGCUCAGGUGCGAAAGCGUGGGGAGCAAACAGGAUUAGAUACCCUCGUAGUC